GACGAACGCUGGCGGCGCGCCUAACACAUGCAAGUCGAACGAGCGAGAGAGAGCUUGCUUUCUCGAGCGAGUGGCGAACGGGUGAGUAACGCGUGAGGAACCUGCCUCAAAGAGGGGGACAACAGUUGGAAACGACUGCUAAUACCGCAUAAGCCCACGACCCGGCAUCUGGUAGAGGGAAAAGGAGCAAUCCGCUUUGAGAUGGCCCCGCGUCCGAUUAGCUAGUUGGUGAGGUAACGGCCCACCAAGGCGACGAUCGGUAGCCGGACUGAGAGGAUGAGCGGCCACAUUGGGACUGAGACACGGCCCAGACUCCUACGGGAGGCAGCAGUGGGGAAUAUUGCACAAUGGGGGAAAGCCUGAUGCAGCGACGCCGCGUGAAGGAAGAAGGUCUUCGGAUUGUAAACUCCUGUUGUUGGGGAAGAUAAUGACGGUACUGAGCAAGGAAGUGACGGCUAACUACGUG
rnacentral:rRNA from 1 species